UUAUGAGGUAACAAACAAAAAAAUACAAUCGAGAAUGUCCUCCUUUUUUAAAGUCGAUUGAAAAAUUCGUUUACAAUUUCGGCGCCUUCUAUGUGAUAAUAA